ensembl:lncRNA
UGUAAAGUGUCAAUAUCAGCCUGUUAAUCCGGAGCGGCUCCUCCCUCUCUUGUGUCGCGGGUUUUCUGAGGCCUCGACUGUGAACCUCUGCGAGCUGCCAGCGCGCUCACAGUAUUCCUGCAGCGGGGACGAGGAGGGUUGAGAAAGAGGCCACUGGACUUGGAGCGCAGCCAGGGCCAGCGAGGGUUUAAAGCUACGCACUGCUCACUGCGACCGGCUCCGCUAACCCAGUCUGACUGGGAUCACAAGCCAAUAGGGGGACAAUUACCCUGGGUACUGCCGAGUCACGCCGGCCAAAGUCUGGUGUGAGUCCAUGUGUGUCUCUUCAUCCCUGCUUCGCACCACCCAGUCUACAGGUAGAACAGAUCCAUGAAAUCAGCGGCCGAUGCAGACAGGAGUUCAGAUUUGGCGUCACCUGGGUGGCCACACAGUUACAGGCUCUCCGUGCAACUCCCCAUCACUGGGUCCCGGAGCUCCAG